rnacentral:rRNA from 1 species
CCUACGGGUGGCAGCAGUGAGGAAUAUUGGUCAAUGGACGAGAGUCUGAACCAGCCAAGUAGCGUGAAGGAUGACUGCCCUAUGGGUUGUAAACUUCUUUUAUAUGGGAAUAAAACGUUCCACGUGUGGGAUUUUGUAUGUACCAUAUGAAUAAGGAUCGGCUAACUCCGUGCCAGCAGCCGCGGUAAUACGGAGGAUCCGAGCGUUAUCCGGAUUUAUUGGGUUUAAAGGGAGCGUAGGUGGGUUGUUAAGUCAGUUGUGAAAGUUUGGGGCUCAACCGUAAAAUUGCAGUUGAAACUGGCAGUCUUGAGUACAGUAGAGGUGGGCGGAAUUCGUGGUGUAGCGGUGAAAUGCUUAGAUAUCACGAAGAACUCCGAUUGCGAAGGCAGUUCACUGGACUGCAACUGACACUGAGGCUCGAAAGUGUGGGUAUCAAACAGGAUUAGAUACCCGUGUAGUC